rnacentral:rRNA from 1 species
AGUGGCGCACGGGUGAGUAACACGUGGGAACAUACCUUAUAGUACGGAAUAACUGCGGGAAACUGUAGCUAAUACCGUAUAUUCCAGCAAUGGGAAAGAUUUAUCGCUAUAAGAUUGGCCCGCGCAAGAUUAGCUUGUUGGUGAGGUAAAAGCUCACCAAGGCUUCGAUCUUUAGCUGGUUUGAGAGGAUGAUCAGCCACACUGGGACUGAGACACGGCCCAGACUCCUACGGGAGGCAGCAGUAGGGAAUAUUGGACAAUGGGGGCAACCCUGAUCCAGCAAUGCAGCGUGAGUGACGAAGGCCUUAGGGUUGUAAAACCCUUUCAUCGGUGAGGAUAAUGACAGUAGCCGAAGAAGAAGGACCGGCUAAUUCCGUGCCAGCAGCCGCGGUAAUACGGAAGGUCCUAGCGUUGUUCGGAAUUACUGGGCGUAAAGCGCAUGUAGGCGGAACAGAAAGUUAGAAGUGAAAUCCCUGGGCUCAACCUAGGAAUUGCUUUUAAAACUUCUGUUCUGGAAUUCACGAGAGGAAAAUGGA